AGAGGCGUUUGCGGCCCAGCGCCUGGACUGGACCUUGGCGUUGGGCCGCAGUUGCCCGGAGUUUUUGGGGCCCCCGGGAACCCGCGCGCCGAGGCCGGCUAAGUUUGGCAGACUCUCUGAGCUCUCGGAAUUCGACUGCCUCCAUUGUUGCUCCUUCUGGCACCCACAGACCGUAACGUGGCCGUAAUUGUUUCCCGGAGAGCUUAGCUUCCCUCUGAGCACCUCCCUCCCCUUUUUAAAGUACCUUCCCACUCGCCUGCGUUUCCUCGCGUUAGUGGUGCAGGGGCCUCCGCAUUUGGGGAAAUAACAAACACCCACUUCCGCCCCCCACCCCAACCGGGAUCCCCAGAUAAUGAGAAAUAGAUGGUGGCCCUCUGUUUGUAAGCUGUUCAUUUGCAUAGGUCGGAACCGCGCACCACAGCUUGAAGCUAGGAAUUAAAAUAUCGGUGGGAAUUAAAUAAGUGGCUGGCUUAAAGAACAUCUUCUUAAUUUAUCCCCAAAUGUAGACAUCUCUUCAGUGGACCCCCUGAUAGGCCGGUUUGCUCCAGGUGAGGUGUGCUCACAGCAACUGCAACCGUGUUUCUUUCAGACCAUGGGCGUGAGCAGAACCUACUAUGCGCCCCUGCUGCCUGGGCUGUGCUGUUCAGUUUGGGGCCACCAGCCCCACAUGGCUCCUGAGCACUUAAAGUAUGGCUAGUCGGAAUCGAGAUAUAUGCAUUCUUUACCAAAUAAUGUUCAAAAAAUUGUUACAUGUUGAAGUGAUAAACUUUUUCCAUAUAUUGGGAUAAAAGUUUUAUUUGUUUAUUUUUUAGUGUGGGUUCUACAGAAUUUUAAAUGUCACCUGUGGCCUGCAUUAUAUUGCCAUUGGGCAGGCUGAUCUAGGGCUUGCAUGCCUGUGAUCCUUAGGUGCACCCUGUGAGGUAGGUGCUUUAACUGUGUGCACAUUGUGAGGUAGGUGCUGAAACUGCUUCCUGUUUUUUUUUUUUUUUUCU
rnacentral:lncRNA from 10 species